AAAGGUGGAUUUUUAUUUUUUUUAAUGAAAAUAAUAUUAUGGUAGAGAAUGAUUAUGAGUAUUUCAUCAAGUGACUUUGGAUUGAGAUCAUUAAAUUAAGUGUGUUUAAUUUGAAGUUGGACAAACAUGACCACAAUACCCUUAUGCGUGAAUAAUUACCAAAAUAUCCUUGUAGGCCCAAAACAAAAAACAAAAAAUAUUUAUAAAUAAAUAAAUAAGAAGAGAAGAAGAAUCCGAAACGUUGAGGGAAUCAAACCAUCCUCCUCCCAUUCUUCCCCCAUUGCCUCAUUUCAAAGCUUCCAUUAUGAAGGGAUGAGGAUGAGUCACCUAGCCUAAGGGAUUUUUCUUGAUGAAGCUAAGAACUAGGGGAGGUGAGUUGCUGGCAGGAGAGAGAGAGAGAGAGAGAGAGAGAGAGAGAGAGAGAGAGAGAGAACUAAGAACAAGGAGAAAAAGAAGAAGAGAAGAGAAGAAAAAAUCUCUAAGGAAUCGGAUCAAAAGUGUAGAUUCGACAACUCCGAGAAUCUCCGAAGGAUAAAUUUGGUACUUUAGCUAGCUGGACUUGAGGUAGGAUUUCCUGAUUCCCAAUGAUUGUGCUAUUUCACUUUUAAUCUUGGUGCUUAUAUAUAGUACUAUAAAUAUGAAUAUUAUUGUUGCUUUGCUCAACGAAUAUUAUUUGAUGUUAUGUGAAUAUUAUUAUUGAUGUUUUUUCGUGGAUUUUAUUUGAUAUUGGGUGAAUAUUAUUAUUCAUGUGAUGAAGCUUGAAAUAUUAUUUUUAUUAUUUGUAUUAUUAUUCAGAAGAUAUAAAUGAUGUUUGCGUUGCAUUACAUAUGCAUAAUAAAUACAAUGGUGUUAAGGGGGUGUGUGUCGUUUGACGUGUAUCCAAAGGGUGGGAGAAGACCUUAGAUAUAUCUGAGUAAAAAUGCGGAAUACAUUCAAGUGAUGGGAGCAGGGCUUGAAUAUAUUAAGGUGAUGGGAAUAGGGCCUCUAAAGAAAAGUGAAAGUUGAGAAAUUCGUAAACAAAAGAAAAAUGGGUUAAGAGACGGAUGAGCGCUAGUUCAUAUUUUAGGGUAUUCAGAGCUACAAUGGUAAAACAAAUGGUAUGGGACAUGCAGGCUUGUUGCCCUAGGAUAUGAAUUAGUGGGAUUAGUUUGUUCAUGGCAUCACUGCAUAUGCAAAUUUAUUUAUCUAGUAUGGUUGCAUAAUUUCUGUAUCUUGCGUUGUUUGAUGCAUAACACUUUGAUUAACUGUGGUAGCUGACCUUGAGGGGUUUGACGGAACUCUACUGGGUAUUAGAAUGCUCAUACUCUAAUAGAUUGUGAAUGAUUCAAGACAAAGUUUGAAGAAACGGGUUUCAACCAAGCUACUAGGUUUUUGUUGACGAUUUGUGUAAUUAACAUUUGUAAGUAGUCAACCUUUUGAUAAAGAUCUUAGUGUGUAUUUAACUACGAGCUACUGCGACUUUGAUUUUGUGGUGUUAAGUAAAUUUGUUUUCAUUUGUGGCUCU